UCGCCUGUUUAUCAAAAACAUCUCUAUAACUUAGUAAAACCUGCUCAAUGUAAAUUAAAUAGCCGCUGUAUUACUGACAGUGCGAAGGUAGCACAAUAAUUUGCUUUUUAAUUGAAAGAUAGAAUGAAAGGAUUAAUUCUAAUACUUAUGUUUAAUUUAAACACUUAAUAUAAAAUUUAAGUUAAAAUCCUUAAUUAAACCUAAAGAAAGAAAAGACCCUAAAAUCUUAAUAAAUUAUCUGGGGAAGAAAAAAUACUAUAAAUUACUAUUUCUUAAAAUUAAGAGUUAAAAAAGAUACUUUAGGGAUAACAGCUAUUUAAAUGAGAGAUCCUAUCUAAUAUAUACAAUAGACCUCGAUGUUGAAUUAAAAUAACUACACUUAGAAUAAAAAGUAAAAGUAAGUUUGUUCAACUUUAAAAUUUCACGUGAUCUGAGUUCAGACCGGA
rnacentral:rRNA from 2 species